rnacentral:sRNA from 1 species
CCCAUGGGUACAUGAAGGACUCAAAGUGGAAAAGGAAAACGGAAGUGCAAAGAUAAGGUUGGAGAAUUGUGGUGGCGUGCCAGAGUAAAUAACGAGCGACAGGCCAGUGAAAAUAGUUAGAGACAACUCCGAACGAAUAGCGACUUAAUAUCUCAUUGUUGCCAAGGAGUGCACAUGACUUGAGGACCGGUGGGGGAUUCUAGCCGUGUGCGGAUGUAGGGAGUGCACAUGAGCUGAUGACGACCCAGCUAUGUGCGAGUAGGGUGUGCCCAUGAUGAUGAUGAUGAUGAU